rnacentral:rRNA from 1 species
UAGUACGGCGAGUGAAGCGGGAAGAGCUCAAGCUUAAAAUCUCCGUGCAAGUUUUGCGCGGCGAAUUGUAGUCUAUAGAGGCGUGGUCAGCGUGGGCGCUUGGGGCAAGUUCCUUGGAAGAGGACAGCAUGGAGGGUGAUACUCCCGUUCAUCCCUGAGUGGCUCGUGCGUACGACCCGUUUUCUUUGAGUCGCGUUGUUUGGGAAUGCAGCGCAAAGUAGGUGGUAAAUUCCAUCUAAAGCUAAAUAUUGGUGCGAGACCGAUAGCGAACAAGUACCGUGAGGGAAAGAUGAAAAGAACUUUGAAAAGAGAGUUAAAGAGUACCUGAAACUGCUGAAAGGGAACCGAAUCGUUUCCAGUGUCUAUAAUCCGUGGCAUAUUUCAUUGGCGAGCGUUUGCGUGCGUGUGCUGUGGCAGUGGCUUUUUUGGCUGCGCCUGGCGUGUGUGCUGUGAGUGUUUGCUGGUGCCCUGUGCUGCGGUGGGACGUCAAGGUCAGUUCGUAUGCUGCGGGAAAUGGCUGCCGAGGAGGUAGGGCUUACGCUCCGCGUUUGUCUGUUAUAUCUUGGUGGACGAGUCGUCGUGGUUGGGACUGAGGUGCCUACAACGUGCUUUUGAGUGGGUUUGUGUCUCCGUGUGCGCCGUGUGCGGAUAGCUUGCUAUGCGUGUGUGGUUGUGUGUGGAUUGAUGCGGGCCUUAACUUGUCGCCGUUC